UUGGAGGGCAAGUCUGGUGCCAGCAGCCGCGGUAAUUCCAGCCCCAAUAGCGUAUAUUAAAGUUGUUGCAGUUAAAAAGCUCGUAGUUGAAUUUCGGGAUCAAAUUGUCGGUCGUGCCUCGGUACGCACUGGUAUUAUUGGUUCCUACCUUCUGAAGAACUGCGAUGUCAUUAAUUUGGUGUCGUGGGGAAUCAGGACUGUUACUUUGAAAAAAUUAGAGUGUUUAAAGCAGGCUUACGCUUGAAUACAUUAGCAUGGAACAAUGAAAUAGGACGUUUGAUUCUAUUUUGUUGGUUUCUAGGAUUGACGUAAUGAUUAAUAGGGAUAGUUGGGGGCAUUAGUAUUCAAUUGUCAGAGGUGAAAUUCUUGGAUUUAUUGAAGACUAACUACUGCGAAAGCAUUUGCCAAGGAUGUUUUCAUUAAUCAAGAACGAAAGUUAGGGGAUCGAAGACGAUCAGAUACCGUCGUAGUCUUAACCAUAAACUAUGCCGACUAGGGAUCGGAUGAUGUUAAUUUUUUAAUGACUCAUUCGGCGCCUUACGGGAAAC
rnacentral:rRNA from 1 species